rnacentral:tRNA from 1 species
GCGCUCGUAGCUCAGUUGGAUAGAGUGUUUGGCUACGAACCAAAAGGUCGGGGGUUCGAAUCCCUUCGGGCGUACCA